rnacentral:rRNA from 1 species
ACAGACAGAAGGGAGCUUGCUCCCGGAUGUUAGCGGCGGACGGGUGAGUAACACGUGGGUAACCUGCCUGUAAGACUGGGAUAACUCCGGGAAACCGGAGCUAAUACCGGAUAGUUCCUUGAACCGCAUGGUUCAAGGAUGAAAGACGGUUUCGGCUGUCACUUACAGAUGGACCCGCGGCGCAUUAGCUAGUUGGUGGGGUAAUGGCUCACCAAGGCGACGAUGCGUAGCCGACCUGAGAGGGUGAUCGGCCACACUGGGACUGAGACACGGCCCAGACUCCUACGGGAGGCAGCAGUAGGGAAUCUUCCGCAAUGGACGAAAGUCUGACGGAGCAACGCCGCGUGAGUGAUGAAGGUUUUCGGAUCGUAAAGCUCUGUUGUUAGGGAAGAACAAGUGCGAGAGUAACUGCUCGCACCUUGACGGUACCUAACCAGAAAGCCACGGCUAACUACGUGCCAGCAGCCGCGGUAAUACGUAGGUGGCAAGCGUUGUCCGGAAUUAUUGGGCGUAAAGGGCUCGCAGGCGGUUUCUUAAGUCUGAUGUGAAAGCCCCCGGCUCAACCGGGGAGGGUCAUUGGAAACUGGGAAACUUGAGUGCAGAAGAGGAGAGUGGAAUUCCACGUGUAGCGGUGAAAUGCGUAAAGAUGUGGAGGAACACCAGUGGCUAAGGCGACUCUCUCGUCUUUGACUGACACUGAUAGGAAAAGAGCGGGAAGAAAGAG